GACGAACGCUGGCGGCGCGCCUAACACAUGCAAGUCGAACGAGCGAGAGAGAGCUUGCUUUCUCGAGCGAGUGGCGAACGGGUGAGUAACGCGUGAGGAACCUGCCUCAAAGAGGGGGAAAACAGUGGGAACCGAUGCUUAUACCGCCAAAGGCCACGGCCCCGCCUCGGGGGGGGGGGAAAAGAGCAAUCCGCUUUGAGAUGGCCUCGCGUCCGAUUAGCUAGUUGGUGAGGUAACGGCCCACCAAGGCGACGAUCGGUAGCCGGACUGAGAGGUUGAACGGCCACAUUGGGACUGAGACACGGCCCAGACUCCUACGGGAGGCAGCAGUGGGGAAUAUUGCACAAUGGGGGAAACCCUGAUGCAGCGACGCCGCGUGGAGGAAGAAGGUCUUCGGAUUGUAAACUCCUGUUGUGGAGGAAGAUAAUGACGGUACUCAACAAGGAAGUGACGGCUAACUACGUG
rnacentral:rRNA from 1 species